CCUAGGGCCAGGGUGAGCUCCGAGGUCUCCCCAGUGCUCUAGCCAGACAAGACACCGGGCUUCCUCCUACCCCAGCAGGGAGUUGCAGCGCACCGGGUCUGUCAGGUCCUCCUCUGCGUUCUCAAACCAGCUGUUGAAGGCAGAAGCCUUCUUGGCGAAGGAACCAAGUGCAGGACAGAGUUCACCCCGUUCAGUGUCAUGACGUGGAGUAAUAGCCGGGCAAACCAUUAUCUGGCACACACUUAAGCUGCAAUAUUACAACAGCAGUCUCUGGAGGCCACAGUAGCUGUCUCCUCCUCCCUGCACACCAGGCUCUGCCUCAUCUAUGCCCCAGAGAGCUCUGCCAGUCAGUCCUAUGUGUGCUUCAGUCACCAGUGUGUCACUGAGACUGCCCAGGACACCAGAAUCCAGGAGCCGGCUGGCCCCUCGAGCAGGGUAGCCAGCAGGACGGGUGUGGCCCCCUCUGCCAUGCCUGCGAGGUUCCUGCUGUGCCCUUGUUCUAGUACCCUGCACACCAGCCCAGCACCAGGCACCAUGGCAGGCCCACUGUCAUCACCUCUGCAGAGGAAAACCAACGGCGUGGGAAGCAGACACGCUGUGGCUCUGAACAGCUGUCCUGUCUGGGAUCAGAAGCCAGGUCUAGCAGAGCCGC